rnacentral:rRNA from 1 species
AUUGAACGCUGGCGGCAGGCCUAACACAUGCAAGUCGAGCGAGCGGCGGACGGGUGAGUAAUGCCUGGGAAUUGUCCAGUCGAGGGGGAUAACAGUUGGAAACGACUGCUAAUACCGCAUACGAGUGUAUUGCCAAGGUGGGAAUAGCUAGUUGGUGGGGUAAUGGCUCACCAAGGCGACGAUCCCUAGCUGGUCUGAGAGGAUGAUCAGCCACACUGGAACUGAGACACGGUCCAGACUCCUACGGGAGGCAGCAGUGGGGAAUAUUGCACAAUGGGGGAAAGCCUGAUGCAGCCAUGCCGCGUGUAUGAAGAAGGCCUUCGGGUUGUAAAGCACUUUCAGCGGGGAGGCGUUACUCGCAGAAGAAGCACCGGCUAACUCCGUGCCAGCAGCCGCGGUAAUUC